UUGUUGCAGUUAAAAAGCUCGUAGUUGGACCUUGGGCAGGAGGCACGGGUUGGCCGAAUGGCUCGACUCGGGUCUCCGGCCUCUAUGGGUGGUCGUGCCUUUGGUACGGUUCGCCCGGGUUACUGUGAAGAAAUUAGAGUGUUUAAAGCAGGCGAUUGCUUGGAUACAUCAGCAUGGAAUAACAAGAUAGGACCUGGUUCCACUUGUUGGUUUGGGGGCUUUGGUAAUGAUUAAUAGGGCCAGUUGGGGGCAUUAGUAUUCAGUAGUCAGAGGUGAAAUUCUUGGAUUUACUGAAGACUAACUAGUGCGAAAGCAUUUGCCAAGGAUGUUUUCAUUAAUCAAGAACGAAAGUUAGGGGAUCGAAGACGAUCAGAUACCGUCGUAGUCUUAACUAUAAACGAUGCCGACUCGGGAUCGGCAGACGUCGUUAGCGACACUGUCGGCACCGUGUGAGAAAUCAAAGUUUUUGGGUUCUGGGGGGAGUAUGGUCGCAAGGCUGAAACUUAAAGGAAUUGACGGAAGGGCACCACCAGGAGUGGAGCCUGCGGCUUAAUUUGACUCAACACGGGAAAACUCACCAGGUCCGGACAUAGUAAGGAUUGACAGAUUGAGAGCUCUUUCUUGAUU
rnacentral:rRNA from 1 species